rnacentral:rRNA from 1 species
UACGGAGGGUGCAAGCGUUAUCCGGGUUCACUGGGUUUAAAGGGUGCGUAGGCGGGUUAUUAAGUCAGUGGUGAAAGCUCCCGGCUCAACCGGGAAAUUGCCAUUGAUACUGAUGAUCUUGAGUGUGGUUGAGGUGGGCGGAAUGUGUCAUGUAGCGGUGAAAUGCUUAGAUAUGACACAGAACACCGAUUGCGAAGGCAGCUCACUAAGCCACAACUGACGCUGAUGCACGAAAGCGUGGGGAGCAAACAGG